GACCUGAUCGCACAACGGCUAGUGCACCUGUAUAUCGUUGGUUUUGCUGCAUACCGUUCUGCAGAAGAUCCCCGUUCGACUCGGGGUCAGGUCA